GCCAAGUGUUCCUUGGGAGAGUUUCAUCACUUGUAAAUAAGGACAAGUAUUUUUUUUCCUUUUCCCUAUUUUAAUGAAAUUGGUAGAACGCCUGGCUUGAAUGAAAAAAGAGAGUUCUAACCAGUGAGAGAAUCAUCAGUAGCAUUCUAACCAAGCAUCUCAUGGUUGUACUAUAAUACGAAAACCAGCUCACAACACAACCAAAACACCCAUGGCAUGCAAUCAACACAAACGGGGGCCGAAAGGCCAGAACACAACAGCUAGCAACUGGCCAACCUCUUCACCUUCUCUCCUUACAACUGCUAAUUUAUCCCGAAGCAGACAAUAGCCAGCGAAGCGGCCA
rnacentral:lncRNA from 1 species